rnacentral:lncRNA from 1 species
CUUGACUGAGAAUUAAAUAAAUUACUUUCCAAUAUAAUUUUAAAAUAUCCUUUGGAUCUAAAUAAUAAUGGACUUGAAUCUAUAUGGAGAGAAGGUGAAACCUCCUGAGUCCAACCCCCUAAAAUAUGUGCAAUCUUCGGUUGCAAAAGUCCUAAUGGUGUCAUAUACAACAAUUUUCCAAAGAACAACAUGGUUUGACAGAGGAUUUGGAAGAAUCUUUGCAAGAGGAAGGAUACAUUUAAAGCAGAAAAUGCACAAAAGUAUGCACUUUAAUUCUGGAAGCUACAAGAGGGACCUGGAACAUGACCUUCUUAAUUUGACUCCCAGAAAGAGACUAAAAACAGAUACAGUACCAAGUCUGCUACUUCCAUUGUUCCUAAGCCUGAGGAUCAAUGUGAUAAAAAGUUCCCGAAAAAUUUGCAUGAAUCAACAUCCUCUCAAACUCCCAGCAGUGUCGAUAAUCAAGGUGAAGACCAAGUAGAUUUUGUUUUACCUCGUUCCAGGAGGGAAAUGAGGAGGUAGAACAAACAAAUGCUAACCAAUUUGGAUACAGACAGAACAUUCCCUUUUUCUGGAAAAUAUUGAUAAUCUCAAAGCAGAA